GGAUUAGAUACCCUGGUAGUCCACGCUGUAAACGAUGGUUACUAGAUGUUUGGCCAAUUGAGGCUGAGUGUCCAAGCGAAAGCGAUAAGUAACCCACCUGGGGAGUACGUUCGCAAGAAUGAAACUCAAAGGAAUUGACGGGGGCCCGCACAAGCGGUGGAGCAUGUGGUUUAAUUCGAUGAUACGCGAGGAACCUUACCUGGGCUACAAUGCCUUGGCCAGCCUGUGAAAGCAGGUUUUCCUUCGGGACCAAGUGCAAGGUGCUGCAUGGUUGUCGUCAGCUCGUGCCG
rnacentral:rRNA from 1 species